AUUGAACGCUGGCGGCAGGCCUAACACAUGCAAGUCGAACGAGUGGCGGACGGGUGAGUAAUGUAUGGGAAACUGCCUGAUGGAGGGGGCUAACUACUGGAAACGGUAGCUAAUACCGCAUACCAUCGGAUGUGCCCAGAUGGGAUUAGCUAGUAGGUGGGGUAAAGGCUCACCUAGGCGACGAUCCCUAGCUGGGCUGCGAGGAUGACCAGCCACACUGGAACUGAGACACGGUCCAGACGCCUACGGGAGGCAGCAGUGGGGAAUAUUGCACAAUGGGCGCAAGCCUGAUGCAGCCAUGCCGCGUGUAUGAAGAAGGCCUUCGGGUUGUAAAGUACUUUCAGCGGGGAGGCGUUACCCGCAGAAGAAGCACCGGCUAACUCCGUGCCACCAGCCGCGGUAAUUC
rnacentral:rRNA from 1 species